GCAUCGAUGAAGAACGCAGCCAGUUGCGAUAAGUAGUGUGAAUUGCAGAACUCAGUGAAUCAUCGAAUCUUUGAACGCAAAUUGCGCUCUCUGGAUAUCCAGGGAGCAUGCCUGUCUGAGCGUCGUUUAAUAAUCUACACACUUCGGUGUGGGUAGGGAGUUCAUGCGACUCGUCGCCUGUCUCUCCAUGUACCUGAGCCCUGUGGUGCGCUAUGUGUACUGCUUGGAAGGCCCAACUUGCUUCUGUCCUUCUAACGCAGAACACGAGACUGCAAUACAGUUGGUUCUACUUCAGCUAACUGCUGAAAACACUUUAUCUUUGACCUCAGAUCAGACAAGACUACCCGCUGAAUUUAAGCAUAUCAAUAAGCGGAGGA
rnacentral:rRNA from 1 species